rnacentral:rRNA from 1 species
AUUGAACGCUGGCGGUAUGCCUUACACAUGCAAGUCGAACGGUAACAGGUCUUCUGAUGCUGACGAGUGGCGAACGGUUGAGUAAUACUUCGGAACGUGCCCGAUCGAGGGGGCUAACGACGCGAAAGCUAUGCUAAUACCGCAUACGAUCUACGGAUUAAAGCAGGGGACCGCAAGGCCUUGCGCGAACGGAGCGGCCGAUGGCAGAUUAGGUAGGUGGUGGGAUAAAAGCUUACCAAGCCGACGAUCUGUAGCUGGUCUGCGAGGACGACCAGCCACACUGGGAGUGAGUAAGGGCGCGGUCUCCUAAGGGAGGAAGAAGCGGGGAAUGUUGGAAAAUGAGCCAAACAAGAAUCCGACAAGGCGGAGUGAAGGAUGAAGGCCUACGGGUUGUACACUGCUUUUGUGCGGAACGAAAAGACUCUGGUUAAUAACUGGGGUCCAUGACGGUACCGAAAGAAUAAGCACGGGCUAACUACGUG